rnacentral:lncRNA from 1 species
CCCAAUUCUUAUAUUUAAUCCGGUGUGUCUCCCACAAUCUUUGUGUCUGUCUGCUAUAUGUAUGUGGCACGCAAGUCUAUUAUGCCAGCUACUCUAACCAGUUUAUUUUUGUGUGUGUCAAAGCUCUGACAAGCAUGUUCUCAUAUGGGACACGAAGUACAUGAAGAGGAAUGAAGAAGCCCAUGUCUGAUGCUCGUCUCCAGGGUGGAGUAUUGAAUUUAUAAGUAAUGAAGUGGCAUCUGACACAUGACAAGCUGCUCCUGUUUGCACAGCAACUUCAACAUUGUGUACUGUGAUCACGGCAUAGUUCAAAGGUAGGUAACCUUGGGCAGUCCAGAUGCUGUGAAUUACAUCCCCCAUAAUGCUGGCAAACCAUUAUGGGAGGUGUAGUCCAAAACAUCUGGAAUACCGAAUGCGUAUGAAUGAAAAGUAUGGUGUCUGUGAAUGGUCAGUAACAAGGGUUGAAGCCUUGACGUGGCAUUACUGCUCACAUGUGUAUUCAUGUGCCAAUUCAACCAAUGUGAGUCACUGUAAUACUUAGAAGGUAACCAAAAGUACUGUGAUUGUGGAGAAUGAAACGCCUCUAUCACCUACACACUGUUUACACUGUGACCAUAUCUCCUAUACACUGCUUAAACUGUGACCGUAUCUCCUAAACACUGCUCAUACUGUGACCGUAUCUCCUAAACAUUGCUUACACUGUGACCGUAUCCCAUAAACACUGCUUACACUGUGACCGUAUCUCCUAAACACUGCUUACACUGUGACUGUAUCUCCUAAACACUGCUUACACUGUGACUGUAUCUCCUAAACACUGCUUACACUGUGACCGUAUCCCAUAAACACUGCUUACACUGUGACUGUAUCUCCUAAACACUGCUUACACUGUGACCGUAUCCCAUAAACACUGCUUACACUGUGACCGUAUCUCCUAAACACUGCUUACACUGUGACCGUAUCUCCUAAACACUGCUUACACUGUGACCGUAUCUCCUAAACACUGCUCAUACUGUGACCGUAUCUCCUAAACACUGCUCACACUGUGACCCUAUCACCUAAACACUGCUUACACUGUAAGCACAGACCUGCUUUUAUUCAAAAUUGAAAGUGCUCGAUCAUUCUUUCUAUUCUACGCCUCCAAUCUUCAACAUUGAAAUUGUCAUUUCUAAUAAUAUAAAAUAAGUAAUAUGCUUUCUGGUUACGAUUUGGUGAGUUGUAACUAUAUAUUUUAUUUUUACAGUUUCAGAGGGAAGGAGCAAACCGCUUUGAGGAGUCCCUGCGUAAGAGACUAUUGGAUACUGAAGGG